ensembl:lncRNA
CAGUCCAGCUAUAGGGAGGAGGUGUAGGGAGGAGGUGUAGGGAGGAGGUGUACCACCCAGCUGACAGUCCAGCUAUAGGGAGGAGGUGUAGGGAGGAGGUGUACCACCCAGCUAACAGUCCAGCUUAUAGGGAGGAGGUGUAGGGAGGUGGUGUACCACCCAGCUAACAGUCCAGCUAUAGGGAGGAGGUGUAGGGAGGAGGUGUAGGGAGGAGGUGUACCACACAGCUAACAGUCCAGCUAUAGGGAGGAGGUGUAGGGAGGAGGUGUAGGGAGGAGGUGUACCACACAGCUAACAGUCCAGCUAUAGGGAGGAGGUGUAGGGAGGAGGUGUAGGGAGGAGGUGUACCACCCAGCUAACAGUCCAGCUAUAGG